rnacentral:lncRNA from 1 species
UUCAGAGAUUAGCUUCCCAGGCUAGAUGGUGUUUUUUUUAUUAGUAGCUUAAUUAACAAGUCUUCACUCAAGCUUCCAAGUACAACAUCUAAGUGAAAGUAUUUUGUUCCUAAGAAAAUCUCAGCUCUAGGUAAAUGAAAUUUUGUAGUGAUCCACAUCUUUAGGGAAAUCAUCAGUAGUAGCUUUGACUCAUCACUCUUGCAAAACCCAACACCAAGUGGAGAAAGAGAGUGGUGUGAGCCUGUGGAAGUCAUUGGAAUAGACUUGCCUUUCCUGGUCUUCUGGACUCUGCAAUGCUUAAAAGAGGUGAAUGGAGGCACUUGGAGAGGCCCAAGAAAAAAAAUGUAAGAACUAGGGCUGCCUUGAAAUUCACAGGAAGGUUUAAACUGGCUCCGACCCAAGGAGAAAGAAUCAGAUUGUGGUUGGCAAUUGACUGAAAGAGAAAGGGAAGAAAUUUAAGUCAUGUAAAAUUUUUGAAUAAAGGAGUUGGACUUAAGUUCAAUGCAUAGGAAUAAAAGAAGAAGGGAGUAAAUCCUCCUACUCAACCCUCCACCUGAAAACUACAUACACACUAAGGAUUCUGGUUCCUGGCUAAAAACCUUUCUGAUUUUCCAGGCCUGACCAUGGACAGAUACAAAGUCUUUCCCAGGGUCCAUAAAACUACUGGAGCCUUCUGUUCAGCACUUCUUCAAUGGUGAAAUGACCUCCAUGUCUGUGCUGGUCCACCUGACCAUUAAUCAGUGCUCAGUUUCAUGGGGGAGAUGAAACCAGGGUGAGGAGACUCGGCACUUUCUCUAGUUUUAGACUUUUGCUCAUUCUAUCAAAGUGACUGAUUAAAAGCUUCACUGUAACUUUCAUUUAGGCUCACUGUUGCUUAAAUCCACUACUAACACCUGACAGUUCAAUUCUCUCUUAACAAUAACAGUGAACCCUUGACACAUUAAGACAUUGGGGAAGGGGCAAAGAAUAUUUACACCAUCUCUAUUUGCAAAUCACUAUACAGAUGUCUACUACUAAUUCCUUAGAACUGAGACAUUUUGGACCUCUAACGCAGUCACAAAUAUUGUCUUAAUUU